UUCUGACCUCGAAUCAGGUGGGACUACCCGCUGAACUUAAGCAUAUCAAUAAGCGGAGGAAAAGAAACUAACAAGGAUUCCCUUAGUAACUGCGAGUGAAGUGGGAUGAGCUCAAAUUUAAAAUCUGGUAGUCUCUGGCUGCCCGAGUUGUAAUCUAGAGAAGUGUUUUCUGUGCUGGACUGUGUUU
rnacentral:rRNA from 1 species